GCGGGUGUUGCAUAGUGGUAAUGCUCCAGCGUUCCAAGCUGGCAUCACGGGUUCGAUUCCCGUCACCCGCUCCA
rnacentral:tRNA from 1 species